ensembl:lncRNA
GGGUUUGAACGCUCUCAUACUGAAGUAAAACAUUAAACUACACAGACUCUUAUCUGUUUCCAGGUAAACUGCGGCUCAGGACGCUCUGAAUGGAGUCCAGCAAGCUCGUAAUUUUACAUGUGUCCUUUGCACCACGCUUGUGACUCGGGUGGAAAUGGGUGUCAAAGGUGAGCGCAAAUCUGACAAAUACAGAAAUACAGACAGCAGGUCAAGGACGGCAGGUAGUUCAAGAAGUGAUUAUCUCAGUGGAAAAAUGGUCCAGAUGUCUCCUGCAUCCCUGCAGAUUCAUGUUCUCUUUUUUUAAGUAUCACAGCAGGAGCGGCCCGGAAUGACCUAGAUCUGUAAAGGAGCGACGGCGGGACGUGCUGAGACGCUUACAGACAGAAAUACUGCUUAUUUUAGUGUUCCACAUGCAAUUUUAUGUAAAAAGUUUUUAUUAGACUCACUGUAAAAGCGCACCUUUAGCAUUCUGUUUUAACAUACUGUAUUAUGAUUUCAGACGCACUAAUCUUAAUCUCAGAUAAUAUUUAUGAUGUUUAGAAUGUGAAUCCGUGAGAGUGAAGGACGCACAGCUUUCACACUGUUUCACAGCAGACACAAUAUUCACGGGCACAAGCCGUACGGAUCACAUCCAAACACACACAUCUGUCCUUUAUCUGUUGCUAUGCCUCUAUAAUCACUACAGCAGGAACAUCCGGCACUCAAUCACAGCCGUUUGGAGCUCAAGGACGUUUUCUGUAGCAGCAGAAAGAAAGACUCAAGACAAGAUGACCUCAAGACCUCUCUGAGAGUUAAAAGUGUCCUAUUAUGCAAAAAUAACUUUGAUAAGGUGUUUGAAUACAGUUGAGUGGACGCAGUGUGUGAAAACAACCAGCCUAUAAUGAUAAAAACCCACCCACUCAUUUUUUAUAAUCCCAAUAAAUCAUAAACAGUCUCUCCA